rnacentral:misc_RNA from 1 species
GAUGAAGAACGCAGCGAAAUGCGAUAAGUAAUGUGAAUUGCAGAAUUCAGUGAAUCAUCGAAUCUUUGAACGCACAUUGCGCCCGCCAGUAUUCUGGCGGGCAUGCCUGUUCGAGCGUCAUUUCAACCAUCAAGCCCCCGGCUUGUGUUGGGGACCUGCGGCUGCCGCAGGCCCUGAAAAGCAGUGGCGGCUCGCUGUCACACCGAGCGUAGUAGCAUACAUCUCGCUCUGGGCGUGCUGCGGGUUCCGGCCGUUAAACCACCUUCAUAACCCAAGGUUGACCUCGGAUCAGGUAGGAAGACCCGCUGAACUUAAGCAUAUCAAUAAGCGGAGGA